UAGGGAAUCUUCCACAAUGGACGCAAGUCUGAUGGAGCAACGCCGCGUGAGUGAAGAAGGUCUUCGGAUCGUAAAACUCUGUUGUUAGAGAAGAACACGAGUGAGAGUAACUGUUCAUUCGAUGACGGUAUCUAACCAGCAAGUCACGGCUAACUACGUGCUAG
rnacentral:rRNA from 1 species